rnacentral:rRNA from 1 species
CCCUUAGAUGUUCUGGGCCGCACGCGCGCUACACUGAUACAGGCAGCAAGUUAUAUUUCCCCUUGGCUGAGAGGCCUGGGUAAUCUUGUGAAAUUGUAUCGUGAUGGGGAUAGGUCACUGUAAUCGUUGACCUUUAACGAGGAAUUCCUAGUACGCGCAAGUCAUCAGCUUGCAUGGAUUACGUCCCUGCCCUUUGUACACACCGCCCGUCGCUCCUACCGAUUGAAUGUUCCGGUGAGCUCUUCGGACUGCGCGGUCUGCAGUUUCUGCGUUCCGUGCGGAAAGUUGCGCAAACCUUAACAUUUAGAGGAAGGAGAAGUCGUAACA